rnacentral:rRNA from 1 species
UACGUAGGGUGCAAGCGUUGUCCGGAAUUAUUGGGCGUAAAGAGCUCGUAGGCGGUUUGUCGCGUCGGCUGUGAAAACCUGAGGCUCAACCUCGGGCCUGCAGUCGAUACGGGCAAACUAGAGUUCGGUAGGGGAGACUGGAAUUCCUGGUGUAGCGGUGGAAUGCGCAGAUAUCGGGAGGAACACCGGUGGCGAAGGCGGUUCUCUGGGCCUUACCUGACGCUGAGGAGCGAAAGCGUGGGGAGCGAACAGG